rnacentral:rRNA from 1 species
UACAGAGGGUGCGAGCGUUGUCCAGAAUCACUGGGCGUAAAGGGCGCGUAGGCGGCUUGAUAAGCGUGCGGUGAAAGCCCGGGGCUCAACCCCGGGUCGGCCGUGCGAACUGUCGAGCUGGAGCACUGUAGAGGCAGGUGGAAUUCCGGGUGUAGCGGUGGAAUGCGCAGAUAUCAGGAGGAACACCAAUAGCGAAGGCAGCUCGCUGGGACGUUACUGACACUGAGGCGCGAAAGCGUGGGGAGCGAACAGG